rnacentral:rRNA from 1 species
AAUGGGCGCAAGCCUGAUCCAGCCAUGCCGCGUGUCUGAAGAAGGCCUUCGGGUUGUAAAGGACUUUUGUCAGGGAGCAAAUCCUGGUGGCUAAUAUCCACCGGGGAUGAGAGUACCUGAAGAAUAAGCACCGGCUAACUACGUGCCAGCAGCCGCGGUAAUACGUAGGGUGCAAGCGUUAAUCGGAAUUACUGGGCGUAAAGCGUGCGCAGGCGGACUUUUAAGCCAGAUGUGAAAGCCCCGAGCUUAACUUGGGAAUUGCGUUUGGAACUGGGAGUCUAGAGUCUGUCAGAGGGGGAUGGAAUUCCACGUGUAGCAGUGAAAUGCGUAGAGAUGUGGAGGAACACCGAUGGCGAAGGCAGUCCCCUGGGAUAAGACUGACGCUCAUGCACGAAAGCGUGGGGAGCAAA